rnacentral:rRNA from 1 species
GACGAACGCUGGCGGCGUGCUUAACACAUGCAAGUCGAACGGAAAGGCCCUGCUUUUGUGGGGUGCUCGAGUGGCGAACGGGUGAGUAACACGUGAGUAACCUGCCCUUGACUUUGGGAUAACUUCAGGAAACUGGGGCUAAUACCGGAUAGGAGCUCCUGCUGCAUGGUGGGGGUUGGAAAUUUUCGGCGGUUGGGGAUGGACUCGCGGCUUAUCAGCUUGUUGGUGGGGUAGUGGCUUACCAAGGCUUUGACGGGUAGCCGGCCUGAGAGGGUGACCGGCCACAGUGGGACUGAGAUACGGCCCAGACUCCUACGGGAGGCAGCAGUGGGGAAUAUUGCACAAUGGGCGGAAGCCUGAUGCAGCAACGCCGCGUGCGGGAUGACGGCCUUCGGGUUGUAAACCGCUUUCGCCUGUGACGAAGCGUGAGUGACGGUAAUGGGUAAAGAAGCACCGGCUAACUACGUG